GAUGAACGCUAGCGACAGGCUUAACACAUGCAAGUCGAGGGGCAGCACGGUGUAGCAAUACAUUGGUGGCGACCGGCGCACGGGUGAGUAACGCGUAUGCAACCUACCUAUCAGAGGGGAAUAACCCGGCGAAAGUCGGACUAAUACCGCAUAAAACAGGGGUUCCACAUGGAAAUAUUUGUUAAAGAUUUAUCGCUGAUAGAUGGGCAUGCGUUCCAUUAGAUAGUUGGUGAGGUAACGGCUCACCAAGUCUACGAUGGAUAGGGGUUCUGAGAGGAAGGUCCCCCACACUGGUACUGAGACACGGACCAG
rnacentral:rRNA from 1 species